UGCUUCUUGAAGAGUUAAAGAGAGACACACCUGACUUUGGCUGGAAGUUUGGAGCGGUUCACGGUCGUGCAGGGGUUUUCCCUGUUGAGUUUGUCCAGCCAGUGGCUGCUCCAGACUUCAUAAACCUCCCUGUGGACAAGAAAGAGGAGCCCAAGAAUAAGCAGGGUCGUGUGGCAGCUUCUGCUGCUCUAGCUGUGGCUGUAGGCUCUACUGCUGCUGCCCAUGAGCUGGACCGCUCCAUUGAAGUGGCCUCACCAGUCAGUGAGUAUACAGAGGCCCAUCAAGACUACAGUGACAUGGAGAUUGAUGAAAGGAUUCUCCAUGACAGCCAAUACAACAUGGUGGAGUUUGCCAAAAAAUAUUUCAGAGAUGCUCAGAGAAAGACCAGGUCAGUCAGUCGCUUUAUAUAGAAAUUACAGUGGGACUAUUAUAGUGGAUUUAGUGGGCUGUUAUAAGCCAUGAGAAACAAUUAUACUUCAAUACCAGGCAUCCUGUCUCUUGCCGUAUUUUACAGUGAUUCUUAUAAGCAGAAAUCAAAGAAAGGAAAAGAAAC
ensembl:lncRNA